UACAGAGGGUGCGAGCGUUAAUCGGAAUUACUGGGCGUAAAGCGCGCGUAGGCGGCUUUGCAAGUCGGGUGUGAAAUCCCCAGGCUUAACCUGGGAACUGCAUUCGAGACUGCAUUGCUAGAGUAUGGGAGAGGGAAGUGGAAUUUCCGGUGUAGCGGUGAAAUGCGUAGAUAUCGGAAGGAACAUCAGUGGCGAAAGCGACUCCUGGACCAAUACUGACGCUCAUGUGCGAAAGCGUGGGGAGCAACAG
rnacentral:rRNA from 1 species